rnacentral:tRNA from 1 species
GUCUAGAUAGCUCAGUUGGGAGAGCGUUAGACUGAAGAUCUAAAGGUCCCCGGUUCGAUCCCGGGUCUGGGCA